rnacentral:rRNA from 1 species
GAUGAACGCUGGCGGCGUGCCUAAUACAUGCAAGUCGAGCGAAUGGAUUAAGAGCUUGCUCUUAUGAAGUUAGCGGCGGACGGGUGAGUAACACGUGGGUAACCUGCCCAUAAGACUGGGAUAACUCCGGGAAACCGGGGCUAAUACCGGAUAAUAUUUUGAACUGCACGGUUCAAAAUUGAAAGGCGGCUUCGGCUGUCACUUAUGGAUGGACCCGCGUCGCAUUAGCUAGUUGGUGAGGUAACGGCUCACCAAGGCAACGAUGCGUAGCCGACCUGAGAGGGUGAUCGGCCACACUGGGACUGAGACACGGCCCAGACUCCUACGGGAGGCAGCAGUAGGGAAUCUUCCGCAAUGGACGAAAGUCUGACGGAGCAACGCCGCGUGAGCGAUGAAGGCUUUCGGGUCGUAAAACUCUGUUGUUAGGGAAGAACAAGUGCUAGUUGAAUAAGCUGGCACCUUGACGGUACCUAACCAGAAAGCCACGGCUAACUACGUGCCAGCCGCCGCCGUAA